rnacentral:rRNA from 1 species
UACGUAGGGAGCGAGCGUUAUCCGGAUUUACUGGGUGUAAAGGGAGCGUAGACGGUUAAUCAAGUCUGAAGUGAAAGCCCGCGGCUCAACUGCGGAACGGCUUUGGAAACUGAGUAGCUAGAGUGCAGGAGAGGUAAGCGGAAUUCCUAGUGUAGCGGUGAAAUGCGUAGAUAUUAGGAGGAACACCAGUGGCGAAGGCGGCUUACUGGACUGUAACUGACGUUGAGGCUCGAAAGCGUGGGGAGCAAAAAGG